UCAUCUAACUAUUAAAUAUAUUGUAAGUGAUCAUAGCCGGUGUGUAUUGUCAAGAUCAAAGAAUAACUUUAGAAAGUUUUAUUUAUUUGGGUAAAAUAAUUGUUGUAAUUUUAUUUGUUACAUAGAAAAACAGAUUCGAUUAACCAUCACCAUAAAUAAAUCAUAAAAAAUGCCCAAAGUAGCUAAGGUGAAAAAUAAAGUACUUGCGGAAAUUCAAAUCACAACAGAACAGCUAUUAAACAAAGGAGAGAAAUUUGAAAAUAUUACCUCCUCCAUCUAAGCAAAAUAUAUCAGAUCCCCAUGAGUUGGUUGAUUAUCAACAUCGAAAACAAAAGAUGUAUAAAAAUAAUAUACAUAAGAAUCGUAUGGUUAUAACGAAUUAAAUAAAAUAUGCCGAAUAAGAUGAAAGUCAAAAACAAAUACAGAGAGCAAGAUCUAUAUAUGAAUGUGCCUUAAAUCUUGAUCACAGUAAUAUUAUAUAUUACAUAAUAUUAUUAUGGUUGAGGUAUAUUAAAAUGGAAAUGCGUAAUAGACAAAUAAAUCAUAAUGCUUGAUUCGAUUAUGUGAGAUUAGUAGAAUCCAAAGGAAAUCCUAAUACUGUAAGAGAAAUAUAUAAACGAGCUAUAACAAAUGUUCCUCCUAAGAGAAGCAAUAUUGGAGACGAUAUAUCUAUCUGUGGAUAAAUUAUGCUUUAUACGAAAAACUUGACACGGAAGGUAUAGAUAGAUGUCAAAUUUACAGAACUUAUUCCACAUAAAUACAUUUUCUAAGAUAUGGCUGUUUUAUACAUAUUUCAAAAUACGACAAAAAAAUUUGACUGUAACGAGAAAAACAUUGUGCUAGGCUACUAUUUGAGAGAUUAUUAGAACGAACUCUUCAUGUCAAAGUUUGGAUAGGGUAUGCUAAAUUUGAAUUAGCUAAUUUUCCAUCGGAAGAUAAUAUUGAUAAUAUUACUUUAGUUUGUAGAAUUUUUAAACGUGGGUAUGAUGCAUUACGUUAAAUGAAGAAGAUGAAUUGUUGGAAAAGAUGGAAAUGAUGGAUGGGAAGAAAUAUUCGACUUUGUAUUUCCGAAAAACGAAUCCCAAAGAUCAAAUCUUAAAUUCUUGGCAUUAGCGAAAGUAUGAAUGAAACAAAUCAUUUCUAGUGAAACUGUUCAAAAUGGAAAUAAAUAAUUAGAAUCGGACAAUUAAAAAUAAGCUAUAUCUUUUAUAUUAUUAUAAUAUUAGGGUGUCCCAUAAGUUUUUUCUGCGCCACACUAUGUAUGACCUCGAGCCGGCUAUGUUAGUAAACAUGUAGGUUUAUCUAUUGUUCGUUUAUGACAUCAAUUUUAGUCAUCUCACAGCUUUUUCAAAGUACAUUUCAUUGGUGACAAAGUCUCCUUUAAAAUCUUUUUCUACGUCGUUCAAUAUGAAUAGCCAACAAAAGUAUUUGCGGCAUGUUAUGCUUCAUUACUUUAAAAAAGGUCCUGCAAAGGAUACUGCAGACGAGAUUUGCACCGUUUAUGGGAGUGGUACUACAAUUAUUAGAACCGUCCGCAAUUGGUUUAAGAAAUAUAGAGCUGGCAAUUUUGAUUUAAAAGUGUAUCAUCAAGAGUAUGCUUGUUGAAAAUUCGCGAUAUAGUGUGCGCGAGAUAGUGGAUGCCAUUAACAUUCCCAGAAUAACGGUACAUAAUCAUUUAAUCAAGAUGGGAUAUGUGAAUCGGUAUGAAGUCUGGAUUCCACGCCAACUGACGGAGACCGACCUUAUGAAUCGCGUCUCUACAUGCAAUUUGCUUCUUCAGCAACAUGAAAAAAACCUUUUUUAAAGAGGCUUGUCACUGGAGACGAGAUUUGGAUUUUAUAUCAAAAUAUGCAUCGAAAACGCAC